rnacentral:rRNA from 1 species
CGCGUAGGCGGUUUCUUAAGUCAGAGGUGAAAACUGUGGGCUCAACCCACAGCCUGCCUUUGAAACUGGGAGACUUGAGGGCAGGAGAGGGGAGUGGAAUUCCCAGUGUAGCGGUGAAAUGCGUAGAUAUUGGGAGGAACACCAGUGGCGAAGGCGGCUCUCUGGCCUGUUUCUGACGCUGAGGCGCGAAAGCGUGGGGAGCAAACGG